AGGACUAACGCUGGCGGCGUGCCUAACACAUGCAAGUCGAACGGGGGUAGCAAUACCCCAGUGGCAGACGGGUGAGUAACACGUGGUCAACCUACCUCUGUGUGGGGGAUAACUAGCCGAAAGGUUAGCUAAUACCGCAUACGAUCGUUUUGAGGCAUCUCGAGACGAUGAAAGGAGCAAUCCGCACGGAGAGGGGACUGCGUCCCAUUAGUUAGUUGGUGGGGUAACGGCCUACCAAGACUCCGAUGGGUAGCUGGCUUGAGAGAGCGACCAGCCACACUGGAACUGAGACACGGUCCAGACUCCUACGGGAGGCAGCAGUGAGGAAUUUUCCGCAAUGGGCGAAAGCCUGACGGAGCGACGCCGCGUGUGGGAUGAAGGCCUUCGGGUUGUAAACUGCUUUCUUUGGGACGAGCAAGGACGGUACCAGAGGAAUCAGCCCCGGCUCACUACGUGCCAGCAGCCGC
rnacentral:rRNA from 1 species